GCGGGUGUAGUUCAAUGGCAGAACGGCAGCUUCCCAAGCUGCAUACGAGGGUUCGAUUCCCUUCACCUGCUCCA
rnacentral:tRNA from 1 species